UUUAACCACUAGAGGCAGAUAUGCUGCAGUACUCUGUUUAACCACUAGAGGCAGAUAUGCUGCAGUACUGUUUAACCCCUAGAGGCAGAUAUGCUGCAGUACUGUGUUUAACCACUAGAGGCAGAGAGAAUGCAGGACUGUGUAUUAGCAGCAAGCACUAAACAGGGGGAAGAGUUACCAUUUUAAUGGCUGAAAAAAAUUGCCAUUUUAUUCAUUCCAGAGAGUAAAAAAAUUACUAAUCAUAGUCCUCUCAUUCUGGACAGACAAGGGCAGAUUAGUAAAAAAAAGAAAUACAUUUAGUAAUUGUGUAGCAACUAUUUUUAUACAGUUAGGUUUAAUAUAAUGUAUGCGUUUCAUCAUUUUGGGGUAUUAUUAUUUAUUUCAUUUAUGGCUGUUGAUGUUGUUGUUAUUAUUGAAUGUACUGAUGCAUCUGUUUUAAGUUGUAAACACUAUGCUAAUAUGAACAAAUACUGGUUUGUUGUUGAUUCUAUUGCUGAAUGCUUCUCUGCAGUAUAAAACCGUGUAAGAGUAGAACAGUGAGAAGCGUGUCUGCAUGAGUCCCAGUCAUAGAUGGUGUCUGUCACCUUCUCCCUUCACUACACAAGAUGAAGAAUGAAUUUAUGCUUCAGGGACUUUGACACAGCUACACACACACACACACACACACACACACACACACACACACACACACUGUCACACUCCUUCUCAAUUGAUCUCCCUGAUCAACCAGUCAGGAUGAGAGGGUUUGACGCUAUGUGUGUGUGUUUUAGAUAUGUUUGUGUAUGUGUGUGUGUGUCUAGCAGGCACUUGCUGAAUUGAUGACCCCUUUAGACAAACCACCCUUUACAGAGCAGUGAGACAGGGUCAGAGCAGUGAGACAGGGUCAGAGCAGAGACAGGUGGAAAGCAGAAAGACAGGUGGAAAGCAGAGAGAAAGGUAGAGAGUAGAGAGACAGGUGGAGAGCAGAGAGACAGGUAUAGAGUAGAGAGACAGGUGGAGAGCAGAGAGACAGGUGGAGAGCAGAGAGACAGGUAGAGAGCAGAGAGACAGGUGGAGAGCAGAGAGACAGGUGGAAAGCAGAGAGACAGGUGGAGAGCAGAGAGACAGGUGGAAAGCAGAGAGACAGGUAGAGAGUAGGGAGACAGGUGGAGAGCAGAGAGACAGGUGGAAAGCAGAGAGACAGGUGGAGAGCAGAUAGACAGGUGGAGAGCAGAGAGACAGGUAUCGAGUAGAGAGACAGGUGGAGAGCAGAGAGACAGGUGGAGAGCAGAGAGACAGGUGGAGAGCAGAGAGACAGGUAGAGAGUAGAGAGAUAG